rnacentral:rRNA from 1 species
UACGUAGGGGGGCAAGCGUUUGUCCGGAAUUAUUGGGCGUAAAGAGCUCGUAGGCGGUCUGUCGCGUCUGCUGUGAAAACUCAGGGCUUAACCCUGAGCUUGCAGUGGGUACGGGCAGACUAGAGUGAUGUAGGGGGAGACUGGAAUUCCUGGUGUAGCGGUGAAAUGCGCAGAUAUCAGGAGGAACACCGAUGGCGAAGGCAGGUCUCUGGGCAUUAACUGACGCUGAGGAGCGAAAGCAUGGGGAGCGAACAGG